AGCAGAUUGCCUACGCAGCCAUUCAUGUCCAGCACAUUACUGCAGGUCCCGAGUUCAAACUGGGUCGAGGAUGAAAUAGCAGAUUCACCAACGCUACAAGAUCAAAGGUAAAACCUCCUGCAGAAGGUGAAAUCAGUGAGCCGAUCGGGGAGGCUGGAGUUUAUUUUGGCAGCGUACCUCUGCAUCCCAGCAGCGCUGAGGGUGAGAAGCCAAGCAGUCAGCUGUGAGGGGAGCCCAGCCUGGCCUUUUGGACACUGGAGGCAGGUGAAGUAGCAGGUCAGGAUAGAAAGACAAAGCACUGUGGAUCCUACCAGUCACACAAGGCCCAGAAGACUGAGUGGCCAGGUCCUGCAGGACCAACUGGCAGAUGGCUGCCUCGGGAUAAUGACCAGGUGACAUCUGCAGAGUGAACAAGCCAUCAGGCUAACAGACUCACCUUGACCCACCAGGGAAGCCAAGCUGCCCAUUCUCAACCUCCUCUUCCUGCAAUCCCCUCAGGUUACACCCACAAACUGUGGAGUAUAACAGAAGUUUAUUGAUUUACUAAGUUUCUCAACUCCCCGAAAAAAGAGGUGUGAGAAUGUC